rnacentral:rRNA from 1 species
AACUCUUAACAACGGAUCUCUUGGCUCUCGCAUCGAUGAAGAACGCAGC